AUUGAACGCUGGCGGCAUGCCUUACACAUGCAAGUCGAACGGUAACAGGUCUUCGUAUUCUGACGCGUGGCGCACGGGUGAGUAAUACAUCGGAACGUGCCCUAUCGUUGGGUUUAACGUAGCUUAAGCUUUGCUAAUACCCCAUACGAUCUACGCUUCAAAUCCGUGGACCGCAUUGCCUUGCUCGGUCUGAUCGGCCUAUGGCCGAUUAGGUAGUUGGUGGGAUAAAAGCUUACCAUGCCGACGAUAUGUAGCUGGUCUGAGAGUACGACCAGCCACACGGGAAGGGAGACACGGACAAGAGUCCUACGGGAGGGAGCAGUGGGGAAUGUUGGACAAUGGGGGAAAGCAUGAUACAGCGAGGCCGAGUGAAGGAUGAAGGCGUUGGGGUUGGAAACUGCUUUUGUACGGAAAGAAAAGAAUCUGACUAAAAAAGAGGGUGAAUGACGGUAACGGAAGAAUAAGCACCGGCUAACUACGUG
rnacentral:rRNA from 1 species